rnacentral:rRNA from 1 species
UACAGAGGGGGGCAAGCGUUGUUCGGAAUUACUGGGCGUAAAGGGCGCGUAGGCGGCCUUCUAAGUCGAACGUGAAAUCCCCGGGCUCAACCCGGGAACUGCGUCCGAUACUGGAUGGCUUGAAUCCGGGAGAGGGAUGCAGAAUUCCAGGUGUAGCGGUGAAAUGCGUAGAUAUCAGGAGGAACACCGGUGGCGAAGGCGGGGUCUCUGGGCCGAUACUGACGCUGAGGAGCGAAAGCAUGGGGUAGCGAACAGG